AGACAAUGGUCACUAAGAAUUUGA
rnacentral:siRNA from 1 species